rnacentral:rRNA from 1 species
AUACAGGACCAAUGGUGCUGUGUUCGGAAUGAGUAUAAUUUAAAAACCUUAACGAGGAACCAUUGGAGGGCAAGUCUGGUGCCAGCAGCCGCGGUAAUUCCAGCUCCAAUAGUGUAUACUAAAGUUGCUGCAGUUAAAAAGCUCGUAGUUGGAUUUCGGUUAAUGAAAAGUUAGUCCACUUAAUAUAUAAGUGCGUACUGACGUUUUAUUUCCUUCUUUUCAGAUAUACAACUUGUUGUGUUCUGAAUCUUUUACUUUGAGAAAAUUAGAGUGUUCAAAGCAGGCGUAACCAAGCCUUUGAAUAUAUUAGCAUGGGAUAAUGGAAUAAGACUUUUUGCCUUAUUUUCGUUGGUUCUUGAGGCUAAAGUAAUGAUUAAUAGGGAUGGUUGGGGUCAUUAGUAUUUAAUUGUCAGAGGUGAAAUUCUAAGAUUUAUUAAAGACUAGCUACUGCGAAAGCAUUUGACAAGGAUGUUUUCAUUAAUCAAGAACGAAAGUUGGGGGAUCGAAGAUGAUCAGAUACCGUCGUAGUCUCAACCAUAAACUAUGCCGACCAAGGAUUCGGGGGUGUUAUAUGAAUGACCCUCCGGGCACUUAUAGAGAAAUCAUAAGUAUUUGGGUUCCGGGGGGAGUAUGGUCGCAAGGCUGAAACUUAAAGGAAUUGACGGAAGGGCACCACCAGGAGUGGAAUAUGCGGUUUAAUUUGACCCAACACGGGAAAACUUACCAGGUCCAGACACAGUGAGGAUUGACAGAUUGAGAGCUCUUUCUUGAUUUUGUGGGUGGUGGUGCAUGGCCGUUUCUAGUUGGUGGAGUGAUUUGUCUGGUUAAUUCCGUUAACGAACGAGACCUUAACCUAUUAAAUAGUUACACAUACUUGGGAUUCGUCCUAAUAGUAUGUGGUUAACUUCUUAGAGGGACUCUUCACGUAAAGAGUGAAUGGAAGUUUGAGGCAAAAACAGGUCUGUGAUGCCCUUAGAUGUUCUGGGCUACACGCGUGUUACACUGGUAUAUUCAACAAGCAUUAUAAUUCCUUACCCGAUGGGGUUGGGUAAUCUUUUAAAUGUAUAUCGUGAUGGGGAUAGACCAUUGUAAUUAUUGGUCUUGAACGAGGAAUUCCUAGUAAGUGCAAGUCAUUAGCUUGCGCUGAUUACGUCCCUGCCCUUUGUACACACCGCCCGUCGCUCCUACCGAUGAAUGGUCCGGUGAGGACUCAGGAUGACCGUGGAUUUUGGUAUAAUAUACCAUGCCAUUGUUUGUCAGAAUCUGUUCAAACCUUAUCAU